AGUGAACGCUGGCGGCAGGCCUAACACAUGCAAGUCGAACGGCCGCACAGUAAGAGCUUGCUCUUACGGGUGGCGAGUGGCGGACGGGUGAGGCAUACAUCGGAAUCUACUUUUUCGUGGGGGAUAACGUAGGGAAACUUACGCUACUACCGCAUACGACCUACGGGUGAAAGCAGGAGAUCUUCGGACCUUGCGCGAUUGAAUGAGCCGAUGUCGGAUUAGCUAGUUGGCGGGGUAAAGGCCCACCAAGGCAAGGAUCCGUAGCUGGUCUGAGAGGAUGAACAGCCAGACUUGAACUGAGGCACGGUCCAGACUCCUAAGGGAAGCAGCAGGGGGGAAUAUUGGACAAUGGGGGGAAGCCUGAUCCAGCCAGAGCGCGGGGGUGAAGAAGGCCUUCGGGUUGUAAAGCCUUUUUGUUGGGAAAGAAAAGCAUCAGGUUAAUACCCCGCUGUUCUGACGGUACCCAAAGAAUAAGCACCGGCUAACUUCGUG
rnacentral:rRNA from 1 species